rnacentral:rRNA from 1 species
UACGGGGGGGGGCAAGCGUUGUUCGGAAUUACUGGGCGUAAAGGGCUCGUAGGCGGCCAACUAAGUCAGACGUGAAAUCCCUCGGCUUAACCGGGGAACUGCGUCUGAUACUGGAUGGCUAGAGGUUGGGAGAGGGAUGCGGAAUUCCAGGUGUAGCGGUGAAAUGCGCAGAUAUCAGGAGGAACACCAGCGGCGAAGGCGGCGCUCUGGGCCGGUACUGACACUGAGGAGCGAAAGCGUGGGUAGCAAACAGG